AUUGAACGCUGGCGGCAUGCUUUACACAUGCAAGUCGAACGGUAACAGGCCGCAAGGUGCUGACGAGUGGCGAACGGGUGCGUAAUGCAUCGGAAUGUGCCCAGUCGUGGGGGAUAACGCAACGAAAGCCGGGCUAAUACCGCAUACGAUCUAUGGAAGCAAGCGGGGUACAGUAAGGCCCCGCGCGAUUGGAGCGGCCGAUGUCAGAUUAGGUAGUUGGUGGGGUAAAGGCUCACCAAGCCAACGAUCUGUAGCUGGUCUGUGAGGACGACCAGCAAAACUGGGACUGAGACACGGCCCAGACUCCUACGGGAGGCAGCAGUGGGGAAUUUUGGACAAUGGGCGCAAGCCUGAUCCAGCAAUGCCGCGUGCAGGAAGAAGGCCUUCGGGUUGUAAACUGCUUUUGUACGGAACGAAACGGUCUGGGUUAAUACCCUGGGCUAAUGACGGUACCGUAAGAAUAAGCACCGGCUAACUACGUGCCAGCCGCCGCAGUAAAAC
rnacentral:rRNA from 1 species